rnacentral:antisense_RNA from 1 species
GAUAACCAAAGAUUGCUGCUGGGUUGAGAGUCGGAUUAUUGAUGACACGGACAUCACCACCACCAGGGGCCCAGGUAUCAUAAACACCGCCGAAGAAGACGGCUUUGAAUACCAGCAAGAGGGCUCCAAUUCCUAAAAUAAUUAGGUGGAAACCAAUGAUGCUGGUCAUUUUGUUUUUAUCUUUCCA